CACCUAAGCAACUUGGAGAGACUCUGUCUCAAAAUAAAAAAUAAGCCGGGUGUGGUGGCACAUGCCUCUAAUCCCAGUGGCUCUGGAGGCUGAGGCAGGAGGACUGCAAGUUCAAAGCCAGCCUCAGCAGCUUAGUGAGGCCCUAAGCAACUCAGCAAGACCCUGUCUCUAAGUAAAAUAUAAAGUAGAUCUGGGGAUGUGGCUCAGUGGUUAAGCACCCCUGGGUCCAAUCCCUGGUAAAAACAGUAAAAUCAAGUCAGGGGAGCACCUUCCUCAGAGGGGAGUGGAGCACCUGUCAAGUGUCCCCCUCGUGCCUGGCCGAGAGAGAGCUCAGAGCUGUCAGUGCUGCGGCCAUCAUUGUCCGGGUCAUACGUGAGGCUAGCGUGUUCUGUGGCUUGAAUGUCCCCCUGAGGCUUGCGUGUGGGAACAUGAUCUGGCAUGCCGUCGUAAGGAGGGGACUUUGGGGAGAUGGCUAAAAGCCAACACCCUCAUGAGUGGGAUUGGUGCCCUUCCGAGAGAGGCCGAGGGAGCCCAUUUGUGCCUUCUGCCCGUGGGGACCCUGGCAGAAGGUGCCAUCUGGGAAGCAGAGGCUGAGCCCCCAGCAGGUACCAGGUCUGCCAGUGCCGUGACCUUGGGAGCCGCCUCCAGCACUGGGAGGACACUCUGUUAUCCUAAGUGACUCAGCUGGGUAUAGAGCCCGGGAGACCCACAUCACCCUUGUUUUCCACACCGCCCUGCCCUGUGGUCAUGGGUUUCUCUUGACCAGGAAAGGUCUGGCCGUGAGAAAGUUCCAGACUGCUAUUAAAACACGGAUGACGAAGGCAACAGGGCAGGCCCUUCCGUCUCUCCAUCUGGGUUUUCUGUCUCUGAGUCCAGUCGGCACCGACAGGCAUCUGCGACACGGCUUAGUCACGACAGCUGCGACUUCCUGGGACCUCGCCUCGCACGUCCCCAGCGUUGUUCUAGUUAUUCUUUAAUUGUGGCAAAAUAUGCACAACCUGAAGGUACCCCCCUCCAGCUUCUGCAGGGCUGAGGCGGCGCCCAGAGCCCAGGCACCAGGCCGGCUUCAGCCCUGAGCUGCACCCCAGGCUCCCCCACUAUUUAGAAG
rnacentral:lncRNA from 1 species